UACGAAGGGGGCUAGCGUUGCUCGGAAUCACUGGGCGUAAAGGGUGCGUAGGCGGGUCUUUAAGUCAGGGGUGAAAUGCCAAGGCUCAACCUUGGAACUGCCUUUGAUACUGGAGAUCUUGAGUCCGGGAGAGGUGAGUGGAACUGCGAGUGUAGAGGUGAAAUUCGUAGAUAUUCGCAAGAACACCAGUGGCGAAGGCGGCUCACUGGCCCG
rnacentral:rRNA from 1 species